UGGCUUUGUCAACUCUCCAAAAAAUCCAGCUAAUAUAGGCUUCUUUGAUGGUGUGAGGCAUGAUCCAAGUUAUACCAAAAAUGGAUAGCAAAAAGUUUCAAAUAUCGGUAGAGACUUGGCAAUGAAGAAACAAAUGGUUAACACUUUCUGAUCUCUGUUGGCACAUAUAACAUCUGUUAACUAAAGUAAUGGUCCUUCUAAGAUUGUCAUAUGUUAAAAUGACUUCAUUGAGGGCAGUCCAUGUGGGCAUGCUACUUUGAGUGGCAUUCUGGUCCUCCAGAUAUGUUUCUAGGGCCAAUCAUCUAGUAUUCCAUUAUGUGAGCAAAUAAGGUUGUAGCCCUCUUUGACUGUGUACUUUCCUUCUUUUGAAUUUCCCCGGAUGAUUCUGUAUGGUUGUUGAUUCUUCCGUGAUGAAAUCUCCCGGUGUGGCUAGGAGAGCAAGUAAGUCAUUGAUUUCCCAAUCCUGAAGAUUUCUUCUAAGCACUAGAUUCCAAAUGUUGUUCUCUCUGUUUUGAGCAAUAUUUGAGUCCUGAUUGCAGGCUAUUAGGUAUAGGCCUGUGUAUGAAUCUUUUAGUGUUGUAUUGCCAAGCCAUCGUCUUUCCAGAAUUUCACAUGAACACCACU
rnacentral:lncRNA from 1 species